GGGUAAGGGUGAGGGUGGGGUCCCUCCAGUGUUUCAGAAAUAAAAGAGCUGUUCCCAGGGGUAAGCGAUGCUUGAUUGGAAGUACAAAGCCUUUCUUGUCUUCAUAAGCCUGUUGAUGUCUCUGGUCCUGAUCCUGAAAUCACAGAUGCAGACAGACUAACAGACACAGGCUUACAACUUGCAGGGCAGGCUCACAGAGCAGGUACCACAGAGGGCCUGGGGUCACUGUGCACUUGGAAGGGCCAGAGCUUCUGUCCCCUACAUCUGAUAUCUCUCCUCUGCCUGGACUCUCCAUGCAACAACUGGGCCUCCAAACUCCAAGCCCCUCUUGCCUUGGGACCCCUCCAGCCCAGGGACACCAGCCUGAGUUGUACAUAUUGUAGUCCCUGCCCCUAGAGGUC
rnacentral:lncRNA from 1 species